UACGUAGGGUGCGAGCGUUAAUCGGAAUUACUGGGCGUAAAGCGUGCGCAGGCGGUUUGUUAAGCGAGAUGUGAAAGCCCCGGGCUCAACCUGGGAACCGCAUUUCGAACUGGCAAACUAGAGUCUUGUAGAGGGGGGUAGAAUUCCAGGUGUAGCGGUGAAAUGCGUAGAGAUCUGGAGGAAUACCGGUGGCGAAGGCGGCCCCCUGGGCCUGUACUGACGCUCAUGCACGAAAGCGUGGGGAGCAAACAGG
rnacentral:rRNA from 1 species